rnacentral:lncRNA from 1 species
GUGAGAGAGAGAGACAGAGAGAGGUAUUUCAAGCAGCUGCGGAACGUGGGUCCCACGGAAGGUGACCGUGUGGGUACAUUAGUCCGGAGUCCUUCCAGAAACUCCAUAAAAAGCGUCGUCAUUGAGAAUUAUGGGACUAAUUAUAUAUUAUCAUUUGUAAUUAGUUAAUCUUAAUAUUUUAAUUUUUAUAUUAUUAAAAAUUAUAUUUUUUUUUUUACUCUAAAAUAUAUAAUCAUAUUUUUUUUCUCAUAUUAUCGAUUUUAUUGAUGAAAAUACUACACGUCUUCAGUGAUAAACUCUACAUUAUUUUUAUCGAUAAAAUUAACGAUUCAUAAAUAUAUGGAUCCUAAUAUAAUUUUUAAAAAUAUAAAAAUUAAGAUACUAAAUAUAACUAAUUAUAAGAAUAAUAUAUAAUUAACCUAAAUUUAUUUGUACGAUCGAUGAUAAAACAAAAUAGCAAGAGAUUUAAGCCUCUUGCAUUUGAACAUCUAAAGAGAUUUUAAAAAAAAUGCUACUAACGUUGUUGUCUUUACAAAUGAACUCUUUAAGAGGUGAUUAAUCAGAGGUUUUCAUGAGACAGUAUAAGUUAAUUUUUGUGGAGAAAUAUUAAAUUCAAAAUAAGAUUAGCCUAUGAUAUAAGAUAAAAAAAAAAGGGAGGUCAAUAUCAUCUCUAUGUGUAGGAACUUUAUAACUUGGAUAUCAGAACUUCCAUAUUGGUAAUGCAAUUUCAUGAGACUAAGGAAGUAAUUCUUCUUUCUUCAAAAUCUUAAUUAGAUUUUAAUCAUCCCUCUCAACUUCCAAAUAUACCCCUUUUCUACUUGUAAAAAAAUAGUGAAUUAAUUAUAUAUUACCUCAUGUAAUUAUCUAUUAUUAGCAUCUCAAACCUUAUAUUUUUAAAGUUACGUUGAGAUAUUUAUAUUUAUGGAAGUGAAACAUUUGAUCUAGUUUCUCAUCAUAUAGCUAAUAAAAAUAUCAUAGGGUUUAUCACUAAGCACGUGUCGACUCUGUCUCACUUAAUUUAUCAUCGAUCACAUAUGGUAUUUUCAUCAAUAGAAUCGAUAACAUAAAGAAGAACAUGAUUAAAUAUUUCACUUUCGUAAGUAUAAGUAGAGAUCAUAAUUUAAUUUUUGAAAGUAUAAAAACUAAAAUAUUAAUUAUAGUUAAUUAAAAAAUAUAUAAUUAACUCAAAAAUAAUCCUUUUUAUGGUUAAUGCUUCAGUUUUGCAUCCAGUCCAAGUUUCACUUGUAAUCUCUUAGUAGAAAUCCCAUUACACCCUUGAUGUAAAGCACCUUCGAACCAAUAUUGACUAAUAUGAAAAUGAGAUAGAUAUAUAUAUAUAUAUAUAUAUAUAUAUAUAUAUAUAUUUGUCAUUUCAUAUUUGUUUUGUUGGCUGUACAGAUGCAGUGUCCUUGCCCUAUGGAUUCAUCUGUCGGAGCAACGCAUGCACUUUAAUUUGGCACAUCCUCUUAAACUUAGCAUUUGCCUUUAGAUGGAACUGCAACACCUCGAAGGCAUCAUCUGCUUGGAGGCAGAAGACAUUCCAUGACCAUGUAAAACAACAGCAUUACGACACUGCUAUAUAUCGAAGUAUGAUGCUGAACAAAGGUGGAACGUAUGCGCCAUUGUUCAUGUGUAGAUCGGGUAAAAGUAUAUCUACCCAUCGUUACUGUAUGUUCAAGCCAUUCAGAGAACUGUUCGAUCGAACUGCCUUCCUUGAGAUGAACUAAAGAAUAAGAACGAGAUGUCGAGAAAGGAUUCACCCUCCCUGACGCACGAGCGGUGACGGCGACCUGAGAGGAGGAGAAAAGGAAUCCGAUAUCCUAAACGAAAGUGAUAUAUCAGAAGAUAUUUCUCUGCAAACAUAGCAAGGCAAAUCAAGCAGGGAAUGGCAUAACGACGGGAGGCUCACAUGAGGGACCAACGAGUGCUUCGUAAUGCGGCAACAUCCGUGAACCUGUCGCUCUCCCUAUGGGUCCCUGCAACGGGGUGUGCUACACGGUGGUACCACCGGAGUUGAUGACGAUGACGACCUUGUCGUCACCCUCGCGUCCAUGGCAGGCAAAGGGCGUUCGGGGACGUGACGAAGGGGAGGAGAUGAUAACUCUGUGGCGGGCCGAUGCUGAUGUGGUCGAUACUAUCAAGCCUUUGGGCGGGUUGCGACUGGCGGUCAACGUGUGGUCAUCGUUCUCAACACCUGCGAAGUCUCACCGAAUAUAUGCGUGUACAAAUUCAAAGCACUCUUUUCACCAAACAUGGAUUAUAGUAUUGCGUUUUCUCUCUCUCUCUCUCUCUCUCUCUCACUCUCACUUAUCCUUUGCCGCUUGCUUGUCUCUGAGUACAUAAAGAGAGAGACGGAGGGCAAACAAUGUAACCCAUGAAGGAAAGCUUUCAUUAGCUUCAGUAGACUUAAAGAGUACAGGCUUCUUGUCCAAUAGUAACAAAGCUAAAGAAGGAGAAAGACAAUUUAGAAAGGAAAUAUUGCAGGUUAAGAUUGCGUAUAACACAGUCCUUUAGCUUGAAGCUGGGACAAGCUGCAGUUAUUUGGCUCCUGCUAAACUGGUUUCGCAGUGACAGUAAGGAAAGUGACUACAGCAGCAGCUUUCUCUCCCAGUAUUGGCCAAGUCGAGUUGCAUACCUACCAAGUCUGCCUUGUCUUCAGUAACGCUUGUUGCAGACUGACUUCAGUUCCGGAUCCAAAGAGGCCAUGUCGAUGCCGAGAUGUUGUUCCUCCCUUUGCGUUAGAACUCCUCCCAUCCUCCUCAUCAUGCUGCCAACCCCAAGAAAGUCUCGAGUUAACCUGUCUGUGGCUCCGAAGCCGCUGAACCCGGUUUCUUGCUGGUUUCCACCACUCAGUAUGCCACUGGUUUCGUUAGUGAGAGAAUUCACGAGAUCUUGGAAAUGGCUCUCGCUCUCUACGCCAUCGAAGACAGUCCGAGAACCUGCAUUCUUUGCAGCGCUAGAAUAUAAGCUGCCGACUCCUCUGAGCGAGGAGCUCGCACUGAUGCAACUGGAUGUUGCACCCAUUUGCGUAGCCUUCUGAAGAAGUGCAGUUGCCGACAUAUGUGGUGGCAUUGAUUCAUUGCUCACCGAGUUGUUGCACAUAGGAGACAUGUUUGCAUCAAGAAGAUUGUUGCCCACGAUAUUUCCUGCAAAGAUUGCGUUUGGCCCGUUGCUUCCACCAGCAGUGUUAAAUGGAUCAGAGACGAGUAGAUGAGCAUUCUGGUUCAUUGCUACGUUGCUGCUGUUGGUGACGGCGCUCCUGUUGCUGCUGUCAGAGAAGAUGCCAAGAUUGGAAAGAUUAGUAGCAGCUGCGGCAGCCGAGGGGGAUGAAGAUUCGGUGUUGGUUUGGAGGUGUUGCAGUUGCAUGAAGCCAUGGAAUGGUUUGCUUUGUAGCAAUUGAGUGUUCUCAUUGAUGUCUUGGCUUGAGCCGCCACCAAGAUAGAACGGGGCAGACUGAGGUGGCGGUGGUGGUCGGAAGGACGGCACCGUGAGGUGAUUGAACUGCAUAGCAUUGCCAUUUCCGCCAAGCCGGAGAAGAUCUGCUGAUGGAUGUGUUUGAUCUUGCAAGGUGGAGAGCUGCGAAUUCAAGUGAGGAAGGCCCAAAUUUAUUCCGGUGUUGCCAUAGAAGUGGCUGCCGAUGGUGUUCAUGCUGGCUGGAACCCUCGCGCUCUCUUGUGCUAAUGCGUCGCAGAAGGCUCUGUGUGUAAUGAAGCUAUCACGCCUGCGUCAAUGACCACAAGAUGAAGCUAUUAGUUGCACUCUUGGAAGAAAGAAGAUGCUAAGCAUGCAUCUCUGUUUCAUACAUCGUGUUGCAAGGCAUCAGAUUAGAACCAUAUAAUAUAUUCGAGAGGGAACUCCUUCCAUGAUUUGAAGCCCUUUCCAUUGCUCCGAAGCCAAGAUUUGUUGCGAUUACCUCAAUCAAUGCACAACUCCUUUACAUUUACUCAUCCUAACAAGAGUAAGUGUCGGUGCACUUCACACCUCGAGUGGUGUCGCACCUCCGGACAAGAAUAAUUCGCUCACAACCAAAGGCGACUCUCAUGAAAUGGUGGAGCUGUGUGCCAUGGCCAUGCCUUGUUGCCCAUGUAUCUCCAAUUCACAACACAACAAAGGAACUUGGUAAGCAUUGCCUCCAGGGCACCACGUGAAUCCAGUGAUGGUAACCCUAACCCUACCUAAGAUUCUUAGAUCGAGAAAUCCCAGUCACCGAAACCGAGAUCGGUGAUGAGUGCAGAGGGGAGUAGCACCACCAACAUGACCAAGAACCUACUGCGGGAUGGAUGCUGAUGUUUCAAUCAUGGAUUGGAGUUGGAUGUCCAAAAUGCAUCGAUCGAUGAGCAUUGGAUGCGAUGAUAGAUGCACGCAGUACCUGGAAAAGAGGGUUCCGCAGUCGCAGCGGUACUCGCGAGUACCGCACGUCUUGGAAUGGGCCUUCCAGUCCGACUGCACGGCGUACCGCUUCGAGCACUUGUCGCACUUCCACUUCUUCUCGCCAUGCUUGCGGCAGUAGUGCUUCUUGAUGCCGGUGAGGUCGCCGAGGGCGCGAGAGGGGUCGUGGUGGGCGCAGGUCGGCUCGGGGCAGACGUACACACGGCGGCGGACGUCCUUGGGGUUCUUCUGCUUCAGCUUCCACGGUAGGUUGUGGCCACGCCGGUGCAGCUGCAGGUUCUGUUCCCGCUGGAACCCCUUGUUGCACACUUCGCAGAUGAAUCUGUUCGUCGCAAGGAGCGUCUUUGGGGAUAAGGCGAUUACCUCAGCGUCAGGAUCUGCGGAUUCAAUCAGAGUCAAUGGAGUCCUUACAAUGAAAUUGUUUGACUCGACAACAUGUGGAAGAAACUGGUUAGGAUAGUUGAUAGUACACAGCAGUAGCAAACUCUGGGGGAAGAAUCCGAAAAGAUUAAGAUCUGUGAAUUAGGAUUUGUUUUUGCAUGCAAGUGUUCGUGAGUUUGGAUACUUGCUUGGGUUUCGAGGGAGGUUCCUCUUUUUCUUCGGAGGAGGAGCUGCUGGUUGAGCAGCAGCAGCAGCAGCUACCGCUGAGCCUGGCUGUGGCUGUUGCUGCUGGGUGACAUGCUUCUCUUCCUCUAUGGAUCCGAACAAAGGUACCGACGACGAAGCCAUUGUCAUUUCCUGAACCAAAGCAACAAAACAGCACUGCGCUUUCUCUCCCACUCGAUGGUCUUCUUGAUCCUCUUACCCUCACUAUCUGUUUCCGUAUGGGAUCACUGAUGCGUCCAAAUUAGAGCCACAGAGAAGCCGUGGCUACCUUUCGAUCCAACUCUUCCUCUUCCAGAUCCAAAACACAGGAAAAGAACCAAAGAAAGGGAGGGAGGAAGAGAGCAAGAACACAAGUCGUAGCACACGAGUGUGGAUCUAUGCACCAACAAGGCAACCCUAAACAAAAGCCUCCAAACUCUUCCUCCUGGCUCUUGCUAUCUCUGCUAAAGAACAAGGAGAGCUGCAAACCCAAACAACCAGUUGCGCUCAAAGCCAAAUGGAACGAAAGAGAAACAGCGCGAGAAGAAAACAAAAGAGCAAAAGUAGUAGAUAACCUCUUCCUCCCCUUCUUCUUGUGCUACUCCAUGGAAGGGAGAUCCACAUAACAAAGGGCUGUCAUGUGACCCUUCUCUUCCUCUCUUCUUCCCUUAUGGACGAUUCUCCUUUUUCUCUUCCACCUUUCCCCUUGUGCAUCUAUUAUUCCUCACCCUCUUCCCACCCCACCGCAAAUAAAGAGAGAGAGAGAGAGAGAGAGAGAGAGACAGAGAGAGAGACUGUUGACGGAGUUCACGUAGACAAGAGUGUCGCUGUGUGGGAAGAGGUCCACAGGACACUUCCUAUCGUUUGGCGUCUGCUCUUCACUGGGCGUGAGGACAAAAGGCAGCCUCUCAUUCCAACCCUGUAAAAGCCAUAUUGGUGAAAACAGCAUUGACUAACACACUCCCUAUCUUACCACAAGUCAAAAUGAGCUUUGAAUUCAACGGAGUCCGGUAAGCAUGUGGCACUUCCACUUCCUCUUCGUCUCAUAAUUUAGGAUUGUUACGAUGGUAAAACAAUUAAAAUUAGACGAAUUCACUGCAUUUAAUGGCAUCACAAAAUUGGUGGUAGAUUAAAUGACACCCAAAACGAUCACAAAAUAAGCCUAAACCGUAGCCUGCAUCCAUCAAUCCUUUCCACCAUCACUUUUUUCAACCGAUAUAUGUCUUUAACCCGAUAAUAAAAAAUAGAUCUUAACAUUAUUUGACAUCUAAAGAGACAAUCAAUACUAAAUUCAAAGCAUUCAAGAAGCGAAUGAAGAAUAAGAUUCAGACUCUCUUUACCAUACUCAGUCUGGGCCCAUCACUAAGAAAUCACAUCACUAAAUUUGAAGCCUUCAAGAUGUAAAUGAAGAAUAAGAUUCAGACUCUCUUUAUCGAACUCAUUUUGGGCUGACCACCAAAUCCGAAUAAAUUACAUCAAUAAGAGAGUUCUGACCGAAGAGAUGACUUCCAAUAAAUGAGAGACUCUAUGACCAAUCCCUACUAUCCAUGUAUGAGGGUAGACUUCUCUAGAUGGGAAGGAGACUCGAGAUCGCAGAACGAUAUUUCGUAUAGUUUUCUAUAAUAAAUCUCGAGAGAGAGACUGAAGUAGGAUUUAUUCACCAUAUGUUUUGUCAUUCUCAUAUGUUUCCUUUUCGACUCUUUGAUUGUAAUAUGUUUUUGAUAAUAAUGAAUAACAACUUCAUUAUUUAUCCUUCCUAAAUAUGUUGUUUAUGCCGAUGUCAUCCGAAAAGAUAUACCAAAAUGAUUGAAUGAUCGACACACAAAACGUCUUAUUCUCUACUUUUUCUCUCUUAUCGGACAAUCUUACCAUCACAAGACGUUAACACGACAAACGCAUAUCCCCAUAAAGCAUUGGAUAAAUUGAUGCAAUGAGAACCUUCGUUGCCUUGAUUUCACAUCAAAGUCAAUGUUUCUUCGUUGUGGGUAAUGAGAGUUGAGCUAUGUAUUUUUAAGCACUCGAGGGAUUCUAUCUAUAUAUGAGAGAGAUCAACCCCUCUUACUAAUCUAUAGAUCGACCUUCUAAGGACUCCUUGUCUUACAUUGAAAACACACUCUCUCUCUCACUCUCCCAUACACAUCUUUUACCUUUGGUUUUAAUUAGUGUGUGUGUGUGUGUGUUCUUCAAACAAGUUCAUAAACAUGAAUCAUGCAGCAAAGGCAGCUAACUAAGGAUCCAAACAGUUAAUCUCAUCUCUUGUUUUUGAUGAUUGCAUCCUCAAGAUGAUGGAAUCAAUCAGCAGUCUUCCAACCCCACACUAAAGUGCCUUUUUCCUGCUCCUGAAAGGUGAGAUGGUGAGGCUCAAAAGACCAUACCUCUUUUCCACCUAAACGUGACAGCACAGUCAACAAAUCCCCAUCCAGUGUUUGUUCUCACUGCUGUCCUCACAGACUUGGCCUCCUCUGUGGAGUUCAUUCUCCUUGUAAGCUUUCGUUUCAGCCAUUGGAGGCACAUGAGAAGUGACCCCCAUCUCUGUCUGAGAGAGAAUCUUUGUCUGUCACAGGACUCACCGAUUAAGUGGCAAACCACAUGCGGGAGAGGUUGCUGCAGGAGCUGCUCAUACACAUCGAAUGAUCGAGGAAAACGCCACCAAAUAUACAACAAAGAUGGACUUUAAAUGGUCUUUCGUUUGUGGUCCUGUGAAGAAAUGAAAAAGAUUUUGCAUUUGUACCAAAAGAAGAACAAUUAAAUACCUUAGAAAUUACAUUUGAGAUAAUUUUAAACUCUUUAGCUUAGUCUUAUUAUAGAAAUUAUAACUGAGGUGGGAGAUGUUGGUGUUGAUAGAAUCGAGAAGGUAUCCGAUGUUUAAUCGAAUAUCAACUUAUAUAAAAAUCGAAGUUAGACGUAGUUCCUCCGAUGCUCAAGUCGAUAACAAAAUAGAGUAGAAGUUUAAGUAAAAACAGUAACUGAUUUUGAUUAAUAUGAUUUGAUGACUCUUUAUAAUUAGUUUAAUAGGAAAAAAAUAUUCAUUGUUACGAAUAAAAUAUCUUAUCAAAAUUUUAUAGUAGAUUGAUGUCUACGAAGAUUAAAUAUUUUGAAUCGCGGGCUCAAAUUCCUUGAAAAGAGAUAAUGGUGUUGUAUCGACGCAAACGAUAAAUUAUUUUUUUAUAAUCAACUACCGCCAUCUUAGUAAAAUAUUGUAAAGAUAUUUUUUUAUUAUUCAAAAAGAAACCUAAUCAAAUCAAAUCAUUUUAUAAGGAUUGAGAUGUAGUGAGGUAAACACGAUGACAAGAUCUCCAUGAAACAUGGCCUGUCCUUUAGUAUCUGUACCCUUGCCGUCUAUGUAGAUUCCACGCUCCUCCUGAGGUGGCAUUUGGGUUGGGCAUAUUGGCUGCAUUAAAUUGGAUUUCUUUCCAAGUAUCUAUUCCUUCUAAUCGAGUUUAAAACGAGUUCAUGUAGCAAAACCACUGUUCAACGAUAAAAAAUAUUUUUUUUUAUAAUUUAGAGAUAAAUAAUCUUUCGAUAUUUAGAGAUAAGUAUGCGUACAUAACUAUACCAAUAAAAUGUGUUUAAGUUAGAGGAGAAAUUUAUAGGAUUAAAUUUUGGGCUUUUAUCCAAACUUUAGUAAGUCCAAUAUUCUUGCCCUUAAUCUAAAUUUAUAGGCCCAAUUUGAUUCAAUUUUAAUGUUAUAAUUUUACGACAUGAGUCAUAUGUCAUUGACAUUUGACCAAGAUUCUGAUUUAUUUAAUAUAUGUUAAAUUAUUUAAAAUGAUAAAUAGGUUAACAAAACCAUAUUAAUAGAUUUUGAGUCGAUUCGAUUAAAUAUGUAAUCGAAUUAGAAGCACACUCUGUGUCUUAUCUCCAUAUUCUUCAAUCAAACUAUUAAGUUAAUCGAGUACAUCACACAUCCUUCAGUCUUAGUAAGCAAUCAUCCCACACUUGCUCAUUCCACAAGUCAAUGACCUAACAAAGUCGAGGAAGAUGAUGAUCCAAAUCUUCAACCUAAGAUAAGCUCAGAUGAGUUGAUUGAGUGUGAGAAAUAUUGCAUCCACGUUACAUUCUUGGACAUAAAAUAUGGGCAAGUGUGAGCAAUUUGACUAUGUGUUGAAUAAAAUAGAUUAAUUAAUCGAAUACAAUACAAUCAAUAGAUUACGUGUUCUUUAGAUCAACGUGGACUUCAUUAUUGAUAGCAAACAUAUGGGCUUCGCGAAGAAACCAUUUGCAUUGCAUCGACCGAAACGUCGAUAGCGAGGCAAUCCAAACACCGACAACGUAUAAGACACAGUCCAUCCCAUUUGGACGCAUCUGACGUACACACACACACACACACACACACACAGAGUGAGAGAGAGAGAGAGAGAGAGAGAGGAUAACAGCGCUUAGUUCACCACGCUGCAGACCUUCCUGACCUCCCCGGCGGAGCCAGUGAGGGGGCUGAUGUCGCCCAUCUUCACCAUGGCAGCCGCGAAGUCGGCGAAGAAAGCCGCCUGGUCCUUGCUGUACGCCGCCACCGUGGCGUCGGUAGACCCGCCGUUGAAGAGGAGCUGGUCCGAGUGCAGCAGGCCCUUCUUUCUCAGCAGGUUCUUGUAGUAGUUGUUGUCGAAGGAGCCGGGGGUGACCAGGUCAAGCGGGGCCAGGUUGGUGUCACCGUUGCCGGCGGUCGGAGGGCACCGGCGCUGCCGCAUCCUGGCGAAUCCCGCGUCGAUGUUCGUCUCGUUGUAUAUCCUCCCCCGGAAGGUGGCGCACUGAGCCAGCCCGAUGGUGUGCGAUCCUGAGAGGACGACCAUGUCUUUGAGGCUGAGUCCUUGCCGCGCGAACACGGAGGUGAGCGUGUCGAGGUCGUCGAAGGCUAUUGGCAGGUUUUGCUCUGCCAGAUCUUUGCUGGCGGUGGUGGAGUCUCUUCUUCCGAGCUUCACCUUCCAUGAAGGCCCACCCACCUGUAAUGCACGGUCAAAUUCAUCAUCGCAGAAGCUUUGGAUCUUACGAUAAUCUAUCCAAAUCUUUCUGUUCCGUAAUUUACUUACGUAUACGGAGGAGUCUCGUGCAACGAUGGCAAGGAUAUCAGCACAGGACACGACGCCCGGACACACCUUCUCCACGGCCGACUUUAUGCCGUCGAUCACUUCGUAUCCUCUCGCAGAUCUGAAGUUUUGACGUGCGUUCUUCUCGCUCACGAUGCCCGCCGCAUCGUUCAGCAAGAUGGACGCGUCACAACCCUGA